rnacentral:rRNA from 1 species
CACGAACCCGACGAACGUUAUUCGGAAUUAUUGGGCUUAAAGGGUGCGUAGGCGGUGCGGUAAGUGAGGUGUGAAAGCCCACGGCUCAACCGUGGAAUUGCGCUUCAUACUGCCGUGCUGGAGGGAGACAGGGGUAAGCGGAACUGAUGGUGGAGCGGUGAAAUGCGUUGAUAUCAUCAGGAACACCGGUGGCGAAAGCGGCUUACUGGGUCUUCUCUGACGCUGAGGCACGAAAGCUAGGGUAGCGAACGGGAUUAGAAACCCCCGUAGUCC